CCCUUAGAUGUCCUGGGCCGCACGCGCGCCACACUGAGUGUCUGAGAUACGAGUCUGCCUGGUCCGGCAAGGUCUAGGUAAUCGCUAAAAGACACAUCGUGCUUGGGAUAGAUUAUUGCAAAUAUUAAUCUUGAACGAGGAAUUCCUAGUAAGCGCAAGUCAACAGCUUGCGUUGAUUACGUCCCUGCCCUUUGUACACACCGCCCGUCGCUACUACUGAUUGGAUGUUUAAGCGAGGUUCUCGAACUGCUAGCGACUUAGCUUCGGUGAGGUCGCAGUGUGGGAAGUGAACCUAGCUUUGGUGUCUAGAGGAAGUAAAAGUCGUAACA
rnacentral:rRNA from 1 species